rnacentral:rRNA from 1 species
CUGCGAAUGGCUCAUUAUAUAAGUUAUCGUUUAUUUGAUAUUGCCUAUCCUACAUGGAUAACAGUGGUAAUUCUAGAGCUAAUACAUGCUGAAAAUCCCGACUUCGGAAGGGACGUAUUUAUUAGAAUCAGAACCAAUGCCCUUCGGGGUUCCUUGGUGACUCAUGAUAACUCCACAGAUCGCAUGGCCUUGCGCCGGCGAUGGCUCAUUCAAAUUUCUUCCCUAUCAACUUUCGACGGUACGGUAUUGGCCUACCGUGGUUGUAACGGGUGACGGAGGGUUAGGGCUCGACCCCGGAGAGGGAGCCUGAGAAACGGCUACCACAUCCAAGGAAGGCAGCAGGCGCGCAAAUUAUCCAAUCCCGACACGGGGAGAUAGUGACAAUAAAUACCGAUACAGGGCUCUUUUGGGCCCUGUAAUUGGAAUGAGUACAAUUUAAACCUCUUAACGAGGAACAAUUGGAGGGCAAGUCUGGUGCCAGCAGCCGCGGUAAUUCCAGCUCCAAUAGCGUAUAUUAAAGUUGUUGUGGUUAAAAAGCUCGUAGUCGAACCUCGAACCUGGCCGGCCGGUCCGCCUCACCGCGUGCACUGGUCUGGCCGGGUUCUUCCCUCUGCGGAACCGCAUGUCCUUCACUGGGCGUGUCGGGGAGGCAGGACUUUUACUUUGAAAAAAUUAGAGUGCUCAAGGCAGGCCAAUGCUCGAAUACAUUAGCAUGGAAUAAUAGAAUAGGACGUUGGUUCUAUUUUGUUGGUUUCUAGGACCGCCGUAAUGAUCAAUAGGGACGG